AAAACAAAACAGACUUUGAUGAAUUAGAAGAUUAUCUUUGUCUGCCAGAAAAAGCAGAUUUCUUUAAAAGACUGUUGUCCCAGAUAGGUGGUAAUGGGUACAAGGAUAAUGUGGGACGUGUUUUAAAAAAAAUAUUUUCUAACGAAUUUGCAACUAAUUGUUCAUGGCUGGGUUAGCGGGGAAAUUUCAGACUAGCAGAGACGAAGGCGAUAAAUAUCGUGAAAGAAAUUAUACUGAAGGCCCAUUUUGUAAGAGAAAAAGAAGUGGAGC